rnacentral:lncRNA from 1 species
GGAGCUGCGGCCUUAGGCUUCGCUUCCUACGGGGCGCACGGCGCCCAAUUCCCAGAUGCCUACGGGAAGGAGGUGAAGUAACUGCGCUGGGGCUCCCUGACUCCUGUUUGACAAGGCCAACAAACACCACUUCUUACACAGCCUGGCCCUGUUAGGGGUGCCCCAUUGCAGAAAGCCACUCUGGGUAAUCUUUCCCUGCGCCUAACCCUGACCAAGCCCCACACACUCCCUCUCAGCCUGCCCUGUUCUUAACAAUCCUGUUUUCUGUGCUGUGUCUCCUUCAGGCUGGGUUAUUGCUAGCUUCCGGAACGACCUUAUUCUGCACCAGCUUUUACUACCAGGCUCUGAGUGGAGACCCCAGCAUCCAGACUUUGGCCCCUGCGGGAGGGACCCUGCUACUCUUGGGCUGGCUUGCCUUGGCUCUUUGAGCUCCCUUUUGCUUAAUUACUGGGUUUUCUGGGCAGUUUUUUUUUUAAAGAGUUGGAGUAAGAAGAGGAUUAAAAAGGAAAGG